rnacentral:rRNA from 1 species
UACGUAGGAUCCAAGCGUUGUCCGGAUUUACUGGGUGUAAAGGGUGCGCAGGCGGACUUGUAAGUCGGUGGUGAAAUCUCACAGCUUAACUGUGAAACUGCCUCCGAUACUGCAAGUCUUGGAUCCAGAAGAGAGUUGUGGAAUUCCGAGUGUAGCAGUGAAAUGUGUAGAUAUUCGGAAGAACACCAGAGGCGAAGGCAGCAACUUGGUCUGGUAUCGACGCUCAGGCACGAAAGCAUGGGGAUCAAACAGG